AGAGUUUGAUCAUGGCUCAGAUUGAACGCUGGCGGCAGGCCUAACACAUGCAAGUCGAACGGUAACAGGAAACAGCUUGCUGUUUCGCUGACGAGUGGCGGACGGGUGAGUAAUGUCUGGGAAACUGCCUGAUGGAGGGGGAUAACUACUGGAAACGGUAGCUAAUACCGCAUAACGUCGCAAGACCAAAGAGGGGGACCUUCGGGCCUCUUGCCAUCGGAUGUGCCCAGAUGGGAUUAGCUUGUUGGUGGGGUAACGGCUCACCAAGGCGACGAUCCCUAGCUGGUCUGAGAGGAUGACCAGCCACACUGGAACUGAGACACGGUCCAGACUCCUACGGGAGGCAGCAGUGGGGAAUAUUGCACAAUGGGCGCAAGCCUGAUGCAGCCAUGCCGCGUGUAUGAAGAAGGCCUUCGGGUUGUAAAGUACUUUCAGCGGGGAGGAAGGGAGUAAAGUUAAUACCUUUGCUCAUUGACGUUACCCGCAGAAGAAGCACCGGCUAACUCCGUGCCAGCAGCCGCGGUAAUACGGAGGGUGCAAGCGUUAAUCGGAAUUACUGGGCGUAAAGCGCACGCAGGCGGUUUGUUAAGUCAGAUGUGAAAUCCCCGGGCUCAACCUGGGAACUGCAUCUGAUACUGGCAAGCUUGAGUCUCGUAGAGGGGGGUAGAAUUCCAGGUGUAGCGGUGAAAUGCGUAGAGAUCUGGAGGAAUACCGGUGGCGAAGGCGGCCCCCUGGACGAAGACUGACGCUCAGGUGCGAAAGCGUGGGGAGCAAACAGGAUUAGAUACCCUGGUAGUCCACGCCGUAAACGAUGUCGACUUGGAGGUUGUGCCCUUGAGGCGUGGCUUCCGGAGCUAACGCGUUAAGUCGACCGCCUGGGGAGUACGGCCGCAAGGUUAAAACUCAAAUGAAUUGACGGGGGCCCGCACAAGCGGUGGAGCAUGUGGUUUAAUUCGAUGCAACGCGAAGAACCUUACCUGGUCUUGACAUCCACGGAAGUUUCCAGAGAUGGAAAGGUGCCUUCGGGAACCGUGAGACAGGUGCUGCAUGGCUGUCGUCAGCUCGUGUUGUGAAAUGUUGGGUUAAGUCCCGCAACGAGCGCAACCCUUAUCCUUUGUUGCCAGCG
rnacentral:rRNA from 2 species